rnacentral:rRNA from 1 species
GGUCGGAGCCAGAUCCUUGGCGAGGAGUCCCUACCGUUNGGAAAAGACAUCCAGACCUCGCUUUCGAAAAUUUCACGCUUGGUUUUGUUUAUACAGCGAGGUUCAUCAGGGUAAUGAUUAAUAGGGAUAGUUGGGGGCAUUAAUAUUUAAUUGUCAGAGGUGAAAUUCUUGGAUUUAUGAAAGAUUAACUUCUGCGAAAGCGUUUGCCAAGGAUGUUUUCAUUAAUCAAGAACGAAAGUUAGGGGAUCGAAGACGAUCAGAUACCGUCGUAGUCUUAACCAUAAACGAUGCCGACCAGCGAUUAGGAGACGUUGAAUACAAAACCCCGCUGUUAGUCCUUUCGGGGAUUAAUAGUUGGUGAAUGACUCCCUAGCAGCUUGGGAGAAA